AGUGAACGCUGGCGGUAGGCCUAACACAUGCAAGUCGAACGGCAGCACAGUAAGAGCUUGCUCUUACGGGUGGCGAGUGGCGGACGGGUGAGGAAUACAUCGGAAUCUACUUUUUCGUGGGGGAUAACGUAGGGAAACUUACGCUAAUACCGCAUACGACCUACGGGUGAAAGCAGGGGAUCUUCGGACCUUGCGCGAUUGAAUGAGCCGAUGACGGAUUAGCUAGUUGGCGGGGUAAAGGCCCACCAAGGCGACGAUCCGUAGCUGGUCUGAGAGGAUGAUCAGCCACACUGGAACUGAGACACGGUCCAGACUCCUACGGGAGGCAGCAGUGGGGAAUAUUGGACAAUGGGCGCAAGCCUGAUCCAGCCAUACCGCGUGGGUGAAGGAGGCCUUCGGGUUGUAAAGCCCUUUUGUUGGGAAAGAAAAGCAGCAGGUUAAUACCCCGCUGUUCUGACGGUACCCAAAGAAUAAGCACCGGCUAACUUCGUG
rnacentral:rRNA from 1 species